rnacentral:rRNA from 1 species
CCUACGGGAGGCAGCAGUGGGGAAUAUUGCACAAUGGGCGAAAGCCUGAUGCAGCAACGCCGCGUGAAGGAAGAAGGGUUUCGGCUCGUAAACUUCUAUCAGCAGGGACGAAAGAAAUGACGGUACCUGACUUAGAAACCGCGGCUAACUACGUGCCAGCAGCCGCGGUAAUACGUAGGGGACGAGCGUUAUACGGAUUUACUGGGUGUAAAGAGAGCGUAGACGGCUGGUCAAGUCUGAAGUGAAAGCCCGGGGCUCAACCCCGGAACGGCUUUGGAAACUGCGCAGCUAGAGUUCUGGAGAGGGAAGCAGAAUUCCUGGUGUAGCGGUGAAAUGCGUAGAGAUUAGGAGGAAUACUAGUGGCGAAGGCGGCUUACUGGACAGUAACUGACGUUGAGGUUCGAAAGCGUGGGGAGCAAACAGGAUUAGAUACCCUUGUAGUC